UAGGGAAGAUUUAAUGAAGAAAGAUGAGGAAGUGGAGAAAAAGCUGAAGAACAUUGAGGACAAGGUGAAGAAAGGACAAGGGCACAGUGACUUGCAGUGUGUGUCAUGUAACAUUAUUACAACAUCUAUAUCAUGGGUCCAUAAUUUUGAGUAAGUCAUUCAUCAACCACUUUAUCUGUACUGGAAACCAUUUCUGAGAGGGAUGAAGUGAUGGAAGAUAAUGAGCCAGAGGGUGGAACGGAAGAGAAAGGGAAAGAAAUAAAGAAAAAGGCAGAAUGAAAAAGGACUAGAACUUGCAAUAGAAGAAAAAGUUGAGGAAAUGAAGAGGAAGAAAUUGAAGAUGAAAAGAAGAGCUCUGGGAGGAAAAAAUUCCAUUUGUAAGAUGUGUGGACAAAAGAAAAACAGCCAUAGAGUGCCAAUGUGGAGUGGAAUAAGUCAGUAUGACUUAAACAUGGUCAAUUGAAGUGUUUGAAUGCCCCUCCAGAAAGCAGAACAAUCUUUGAAUUUGCAGGAAAGAGUAUAAAAUUUGCUGUUAAAAUAUCAUAACAGCUAGACAAAGAUUAAAUAACAACUACAUGUACAUCUAAAGAAUUCUUUUGUCAUAAUAGUGAUUCAUGUGCUAGUACAUGUGACAAGUGCUAUAACGACCUAAUAUAAGUGUGUUUUAGGAGCAUUUUGACUCUAUUGUAAAUGUAUUGACUCCUUAUAUGACCUCAUUUAUAUAUAACAUUAUAUGAAUGGUAGUGUAGUGACUUGAAAUGUGUGUUAGUAGUAUAGCUCGUUAUGUGUGGUAAUUUUGUUAUUUGUUUUACAUGUAUGAUAGUACAUGUAGUAUGGUGACUCAUGUGUUGGGAAUGUAUAAUUUUAUGUGUGUUACUUGUAUAACUCAUUGUGUGUGUUUUAAUAUAGUUAUUUGUAGUGUAUAUAUUAGUAUUGUAGUGACUCCACAAGUAUGUUAGUGUGUAGUGACAUGACAUGUGUGUUAGUAGUGUAGUGACUCGACAUGUGUGUUUGAAGUGUAGCUUAUUAUAUGUGGUAUUUUUGUUAUUUGUUAUGAUUGUUGUAUAUGUAGUAUGGCAACUCAUGUGUUGGAAAAGUAUAUUUUAAUUUGAUGUGUGUUACUGGUAUAGCUCAUUGUGUGUUUUAAUAAUUUUUUUUGUAAUGUAUAUUUUAUUCGUGUAGUGACUCGACAUGUGUGUUAGUAGUGUAGUGACUCGACAUGUGUGUUAAUAGUGUAGUGACUCGACAUGUGUGUUAGUAGUGUAGCUUAUUAUGUGUGGUAAUUUUGUUAUUUGUUAAGUGUGUUGUACAUGUAGUAUGGUGACUCAUGUGUUGGGAAUGUAUUAUUAUAUUCUUGCUCCAAAAGAUACUGUUUUACCCUUGUCUGUCUAGCUGUGUGUGUGUCUGUCUGACUGUCCAUAACAAAUUUUUGGUCACAGUUUUCUCAGCAACUACUCAUUGCAGAUGCUUGAAAUUUUAGCAUGCUCUUUGUUUAGGCUUGGUGGGAAUCAUUUUCAUACAAAUCUGAUGUCAACUUCCUGUUUAUCCAUGUGUCUGUCCAUACCACACAUAACACAUUUUCGUCGCAGUUUUCUAAGCAACUACUUAUUGCUUGAAAUUUUAGCACACUCAUUGCUGAGGCAUGUCAUAUGGUGGGAUUGAUUUUUGUAUGAAUUUGAUGCCAACUUCCUUUUUAUCUGUGCGUCUGUCCAUACCAUACAUAACGAAUUUUUUUCGCAGUUUUUUCAGCAAUUACUCAGAGCAGAUGCUUGAAAUUUUAGCACAUUCUUUAUUUUGGCAUGCCAUAUCGUGGGAUUUAUUUUUGUACAAGUCUGAUGUCAACUUCCUGUUUAUCUGUGUGUUUGUCUAUACCAUAUAUAACAAAUAUUUGUUGCAGUUUCUCAUCAACUACUUAUUGCAGAUGCAUGAAAGUUUACACACUCUUUGUUUAGGCAUGCCAUAUGAUGGGAUUCAUUUCUGAAUUUGAUGUCAACUUCCUGUUUAACUGUGCGUCUGUCUGUAUAAUAUGGAACAAAUUUUUGUCAAAGUUUUCUCAGCAACAACUCAUUGCAGAUGCUUGAAAUUUUAGCACACUCUUUGUUGACGCAUAAUUGUCAUAUGGUGGGAUUCAUUUUUGUAUGAAUCUGAUGUCAACUUCCUGUUUAUUCAUGCAUCUGUCCAUAGUUGAACUUGUGAAUAUACACAUGAUGUGUAUAUUCAAAUCACAGCGGAGGUAU